CUGACUUGAAACAUGCUUUGAUGAAUUAGUGCAACUCGGCCAGCCAUUUACUUUAAAUUUUACCCUUGAUUCUUCCUCUAGCAAACAAUUAAGGAGCAGCAGUGGCUUCCUGCAGGGGAGACCAAUGCCUUCUGUCCUCAGCGGAAACAGCUUGGCAUUCUUCCAAUUGAUGAAUGGCAUGGACCAGGAGCACUAGUUAUCUUCAGCUUCUGAGCAUCCGAAUAAAUAAACAUACAAAUGCAUAACAUAAAAUAAAUUCAAAUUACAAAUGAGAAAACCAAUCUAGGUUACCGGCAAGUCCUAUGACUUGAUGUGGAGGCCUGGAAGUGCAUCCUUGAAUCUUGCAAUGCAGUGAGCCAAGGAGCAAUGAGAGGCCACAUGAAUAACCGGGCCAGUGACAAGACACAUGUCCUCCUCCUUGCUGGUAUACACCAGAAUGCCCCGCAUGCAGCGAAUGCUCAAAAAGUGUUGGUGGAAGUGACAGAAUUCCAUCACCAUUAAACACAACCAGUGUUGCGGUUGACAAUGGCACUGAAGCAGGUGAAAAAUCCGUACAGCAGCUUCUGUCUUUGAAGAGUUUGCAGCCUCUUGAAGAGGGUUUAGAGGUUAAAAAAAGCUUUGUGCUGAUGAACAUGGUCACCUUGAAAGGUGUGUUGAAUAUGGCAGAGCCAGAAAAUGCAAGGAGCUUCUUCUCUGGAUCACCACUUGAAGAAGAGCCACUUGCUCCUCAGGAACCCUAUUUUGGACUGACGUUGCAAGAAAGCUCAAGUAGCCUAUGGAGAGGAUGCAAGGCUUCCAGCUGAUGCCCUCAGCCAGGCUCAGUAGCAGCCAGAACUAGCCUACCAACGAACCUGCUGAUCAUGUGCAUAAGCCACCUUGAACGUCGAUCCUCCUGCCUGGUGGAGCCAUCCCAGCUGAUGCCACAUGAAGCAGACACAAGCUGUCCCUACUAAGCUCUGCUCAAGUUGGAUAUUCAUGAGUGAAAUAAAUGACUGUUACUAAGUAAUUAAUUUUUGGGUGGCUGUUAUGUAGCAGUAGAUAAUUGGAACAAAGCUUAUUGACAUAAUACAUCUAUAUCACAUCCUCCAAUCCAUUUUUUUAAGUAAUAAAGUUGAUGUUUGUUUUGAUUUUCAGUUACAGCUUUACAUAUUUUGUCUUAAUUAGUCAAUUUUUUCCAAACUCAAAAUGGGUUUUUGUAAGAGUAGUAGUAGGGUCCUAGAAUAAUGGCAAUUCUCUUUCACUGGAGAAAGUUUUGUAGAGAAGACAAAAGAAUUUUUACAAGUACUCCACUGGUGAAAACUCAUAAACCUUGAAGGUAUUUUUAAAUUCAUCAUGCAUUUAUCAAUUUAUAAAUGAAUUCAUCAUUCAUUGGUCCAUUCAUCCAUCCCUCCAUCCAUUUCUAGAUCCUCUCAUAAGAGGAAAUCUAGGAAUAAGCCUGAUCAGUGAAAGUUUCAUGGGAAAGAGGAAGGAGGAAGAAAUUAUUUUAUUUUUAGAGUUUUGGGAGUUAGUGGUUAUGGACUUGCACUGGAGAAGAUGGGUGAGAAAGUUCAAGGUUUCUAAAAUGGGAAAGUAGGCCUGGAGAAAAUGUUGCAACCAAGAUUAUAAGGCCAAUUACCAGGUCUGAUUACCAGAAAAUAAUUUUUAAGGCAGGAAUAUUAGGCCAUAUCAGUACCUGAAAGAGUGAUCGAGGCUAAUUUGUUCAUUCAUGUAACAACAAUUUAUUAUGUGCUACUAAGUACCAUCACUAUAUUAUAAACUGAGGGUUCAGUAGUGGAUAAGAGAAACUAAUUCCCUGGCCUAAUGAAGAUUUCAUUCAACGGGGAAAACAAGAAACAUAUAUGUAAAUUAGCAAAAGUUAAUAAUAUCAUUCAAAGAGUGCUAAGAGCUCUGAAAAUAGUAAAGCAGGGUGACUGAUAAAACAGGACUAAGCAGGUAACAGUAAGAGGUGAUCAGGGAAAAAACCUCUGAAGAAAACAUAUUUGAUCUGGAAUCCAAAUGGCAAGUAGAAUGAAGAAGGUAAAUAAUUCAUACAAGAGCAUAUCUCUUCCAUAGCAAGUGCAAAGACCCUGGGCAAAUGCCAUAGUUGAGCUAGCACCCACCACUGGCUUCAAGUGAUGGGUGAGUGAUACAGACUCAAGGAAAGGGCCAAAAGGGCAGACAAAACCAGUUCAAUUUGUCACUUAUUCAUCCACCCAUUGAUCCAUCUACUGAUCCAUUUAUCCAUCCAUCCAUCCAUCCAUCCAUCCAUCCAUCCAUCCAUCUAUUCAACAUACAUGUUGGGUGCCCUUUACAUACCAGGACCUGUACUGGGCAUGGGAACUGCAGAGAUGAAAAGAUGAACAAUCUCUGUACUUGAGGGACUCAUCUCACUCUGUGAGAUGAACUGGCAUGUGACUGAAAACUCACUAUAUUGGUAACGAGACUAAAACACAGAGCUUAAUGAUUUAACCUGAUACCACCCAAGUGGUUAGCGGUUAGUGGCAGGGCUUCAGAAUUUUAUUUUCCUUCCCUACAGGGAAAACCAUUAUGUGUGACCUACUUUUUCAAACUCUCUUCCUCAGUGGGGCAACAAUUAGAGUUUAUCUAUUGCUAGUGCUUACCAUUUUAGGCUCCUUUAAUUAGAGUGUUUUAAAUUAGUGUUAUUUUAAUUUUGCUUAUCUCCUGAGACAUUAUAGAGGAUAAAUAGCAAAUGAAAUAAUGUACAUGAAAACACAUUGUAACCCAUAAACCAUCAUACAGAUGUGUGUUAUAUACAGUUUUAUAUUUGAGGAUAUAGCUUUAUGCAUUAGUACUGCUUCCUCCUCAGGGAUGUCUCCAAAAGAAUUCAGAGUAAAACAGACUUGUGGAUUGAUGCUUUAAAGACAUUUUGUAUUUUCUUUAAAAAUAAAAUUGACUCACAGUAGGUGCUUAAUAAAUAUUUGUUCAAAGAAUGCAUAAGAUGCAAUAUUCAGAGACAUAGAUUCAGUGUAGUAGGCAUCAGUGUGGCUACUUGGCUACUUACUGUGCAAAAGAUGUCAAUUUGUGAGUGCAAAUUCAUCUUAAGGAAAUUCUCUGAUUUAAUUUAAGCAUUGGUAGAGAGAUUUACUAUUAUCCUCCUUGGAAAUGAAAAGCAUAUAGCUCAGGGAAGGAAGAUCACAUUUUUAGGAGAACUAUCUGGGGGCAGAUUACCCAAAGUGUUAAUUAUUAUAAUUACUAUUGUUAAGUUGGUUUUAAAGUCCUAUAUGAUGUAAUAUCAUGUUCUCUUUUUGUUUCUCCAG
rnacentral:lncRNA from 1 species